rnacentral:rRNA from 1 species
GACGAACGCUGGCGGCGUGCCUAAUACAUGCAAGUAGAACGCACAGUUUAUACCGUAGCUUGCUACACCAUAGACUGUGAGUUGCGAACGGGUGAGUAACGCGUAGGUAACCUGCCUGGUAGCGGGGGAUAACUAUUGGAAACGAUAGCUAAUACCGCAUAAUAUUGAUUAUUGCAUGAUAAUUGAUUGAAAGAUGCUAUUGCAUCACUACCAGAUGGACCUGCGUUGUAUUAGCUAGUAGGUGAGGUAACGGCUCACCUAGGCGACGAUACAUAGCCGACCUGGGAGGGUGGUCGGCCACACUGGGACUGGGACACGGCCCAGACUCCUACGGGAGGCAGCAGUAGGGAAUCUUCGGCAAUGGACGAAAGUCUGACCGAGCAACGCCGCGUGAGUGAAGAAGGUUUUCGGAUCGUAAAGCUCUGUUGUAAGAGAAGAACGGGUGUGAGAGUGGAAAGUUCACACUGUGACGGUAUCUUACCAGAAAGGGACGGCUAACUACGUG